GUGAGGAAUUUUCCGCAAUGGGCGAAAGCCUGACGGAGCAAUGCCGCGUGAAGGAUGAAGGCCUAUGGGUUGUAAACUUCUUUUCUCAGAAAAGAAUUAUGACGGUAUCUGAGGAAUAAGCAUCGGCUAACUCUGUGCCAGCAGCCGCGGUAAGACAGAGGAUGCAAGCGUUAUCCGGUAUGAUUGGGCGUAAAGCGUCUGUAGGUUGUUUAAAAAGUAUUCUGUCAAAGAUUAGGGCUUAACCCUAGAUAGGCAGAAUAAACUUUUAAGCUAGAGGUUGGUAGAGGCGGAGGGAAUUCCCGGUGGAGCGGUGAAAUGCGUAGAUCUCGGGAGGAACACCAAAGGCGAAGGCACUCUGCUGGGCCAAUACUAACACUGAGAGACGAAAGCGAGGGGAGCAAAUGGGAUUAGAAACCCUAGUAGUCC
rnacentral:rRNA from 1 species